rnacentral:tmRNA from 1 species
GGGGGUGUAAGGGUUUCGACUGUGGGAUCGUACUGAUAUGGAUUGCAGGCAGAGCUGCUCUAACUCUUUAAACUGGACAAAAAUGUUAAUUGCCGAAGAUAAUUUCGAAGCAAAUUACGCUUUAGCAGCUUAAAUAAGCUGUGCGGGCCCCUGGGAUGCCGUUCUUAAUGCCAGGUGUGCUUGUCAAAGAUAGGGACUUGCUUUCUGUUAGGUCUGGAUAACAGGAGGGACUCUUUCCAGUCUUAGGGGUGUGACGGUUUAGUGCCUUCACCAUCCACACCCUGAAACACCUAAGAAGGUACUAAGCUUGUAGACGUUUAUGUCAUGCCCCAUAGGACGCGGGUUCGACUCCCGCCACCUCCAAAA